AGCGUGUGACUGGCGGAAAGAGUGGGAAACCACAGGGGAGCACGCAAGUUUGAAUUGCCGGCCGCCUGGGCACC
rnacentral:ncRNA from 1 species